rnacentral:rRNA from 1 species
AUUGAACGCUGGCGGAAUGCUUUACACAUGCAAGUCGAGCGGCAGCGCGGGGCAACCUGGCGGCGAGCGGCGAACGGGUGAGUAAUACAUCGGAACGUACCCUGUUGUGGGGGAUAACGAAUCGAAAGAUUCGCUAAUACCGCAUACGACCUGAGGGUGAAAGUGGGGGAUCGCAAGACCUCACGCGAUAGGAGCGGCCGAUGUCGGAUUAGCUAGUUGGUGGGGUAAAGGCUCACCAAGGCGACGAUCCGUAGCGGGUCUGAGAGGACGGCCCGCCACACUGGAACUGAGACACGGUCCAGACUCCUACGGAGGCAGCAGUGGGGAAUUUUGGACAAUGGGGGCAACCCUGAUCCAGCCAUUCCGCGUGAGUGAAGAAGGCCUUCGGGUUGUAAAGCUCUUUCGGCAGGAACGAAACGGUCCUAGUUAAUACCUGGGGCUAAUGACGGUACCUGAAGAAGAAGCACCGGCUAACUACGUGCCAGCCGCCGCUGUAA